ncrna:unclassified sequences L19-Flavobacteria ribosomal protein leader
CAACCUCUGGCGAGGGACGUGAAUGUUG